UUAAUUGAAGAGUUUGAUCAUGGCUCAGAUUGAACGCUGGCGGCAGGCCUAACACAUGCAAGUCGAGCGGUAACAGAAAAGAAGCUUGCUUCUUUUGCUGACGAGCGGCGGACGGGUGAGUAAUGCCUGGGAAUAUACCCUGAUGUGGGGGAUAACUAUUGGAAACGAUAGCUAAUACCGCAUAAUCUCUUCGGAGCAAAGAGGGGGACCUUCGGGCCUCUCGCGUCAGGAUUAGCCCAGGUGGGAUUAGCUAGUUGGUGGGGUAAUGGCUCACCAAGGCGACGAUCCCUAGCUGGUCUGAGAGGAUGAUCAGCCACACUGGAACUGAGACACGGUCCAGACUCCUACGGGAGGCAGCAGUGGGGAAUAUUGCACAAUGGGGGAAACCCUGAUGCAGCCAUGCCGCGUGUAUGAAGAAGGCCUUCGGGUUGUAAAGUACUUUCAGUUGUGAGGAAGGCGUUGGAGUUAAUAGCUU
rnacentral:rRNA from 1 species